rnacentral:rRNA from 1 species
GACAGAGGGUGCAAACGUUGUUCGGAAUUACUGGGCGUAAAGCGCGUGUAGGCGGUUAUGCAAGUCGGGUGUGAAAGCCCCGGGCUCAACCCGGGAAGUGCAUUCGAUACUGCGUAGCUAGAGUACUGGAGAGGAUGGUGGAACUCUCGGUGUAGAGGUGAAAUUCGUAGAUAUCGAGAAGAACACCAAUAGCGAAGGCAGCUCGCUGGGACGGUACUGACGCUGAGGCGCGAAAGCGUGGGGAGCGAACAGG